GUGCUUGCUUUGGGAGCGCAUAUACUAAAAUUAGAAUGAUACACAGAAGAUUAGCAUGGCCCCUGUGCAAAGAUGACACACAAAUUCGUGAACUGUUCCAUAUUUUU
ensembl:snRNA U6 U6 spliceosomal RNA